rnacentral:rRNA from 1 species
CUGUUCAGGUAUUGACGGUAUUUAACCAGAAAGCCACGGCUAACUACGUGCCAGCAGCCGCGGUAAUACGUAGGUGGCAAGCGUUGUCCGGAGUUUAUUUGGGCGUAAAGCGAAGCGCAGGCGGUUUUAAGGUUCUUGAUGUGAAAGACCUUCGGCUCAACCGAAGAAAGUGCAUCGGAAACUGGGAAACUUAGAGUGCAGAAGAGGACAGUGGAACUCCAUGUGUAGCGGUGAAAUAGCGUAGAUAUAUGGAAGAACACCAGUGGCGAAGGCGGCUGUCUGGUCUGUAACUGACGCUGAGGCUCGAAAGUAUGGGUAGCAAACAGGAUUAGAUACCCUGGUAG